AUCCACGCUCGGCGUUGGAAAUUCCCUGAUCACGAAGGGGGCUUUCCCGAUCUGAGGCCGUCCAUUAGAGCGGUUGACGAUCGCUACCACUGCAAAUAGCAUUGGCUGGGACGUCUAAUUUUUGGACUCGGGACUGCGUUCGCGUUGCUCCCGU